CGGUGACAGGUGGUGCAUGGUUGUCGUCAGCUCGUGUCGUGAGAUGUUGGGUUAAGUCCCGCAACGAGCGCAACCCCUAUUGUUAGUUGCCAUCAUUCAGUUGGACACUCUAGCGAGACUGCCGGUAAUAAACCGGAGGAAGUGGGAUGACGUCAAUCAUCAUGCCCCUUAUGACCUGGGCUACACACGUGCUACAAUGGUUGGUACAACGAGUUGCGAGUCGGUGACGGCGAGCUAAUCUCUUAAAGCCAAUCUCAGUUCGGAUUGUAGGCUGCAACUCGCCUACAUGAAGUCGGAAUCGCUAGUAAUCGCGGAUCAGCACGCCGCGGUGAAUACGUUCCCGGGCCUU
rnacentral:rRNA from 1 species